rnacentral:rRNA from 1 species
CCUACGGGAGGCAGCAGUGGGGAAUAUUGCGCAAUGGGCGAAAGCCUGACGCAGCGACGCCGCGUGAGGGAUGAAGGUCUUCGGAUCGUAAACCUCUGUCAGCAGGGAAGAAAGGUCACUGUGCUAAUCAGCAGUGAAUUGACGGUACCUGCAAAGGAAGCACCGGCUAACUCCGUGCCAGCAGCCGCGGUAAUACGGAGGGUGCGAGCGUUAAUCGGAAUGACUGGGCGUAAAGCGGUCGUAGGCGGUAUGUCAAGUCAAGGGUGAAAUCCCCGGGCUCAACGUGGGAACUGCCUUUGAUACUGGCAAGCUGGAGUGUGUGAGAGGAUGGUGGAAUUCGAGGUGUAGGGGUGAAAUCCGUAGAUAUCUGGAGGAA